rnacentral:misc_RNA from 1 species
UAUACACACAUUAUAUGAAAUUAUUUCAAAUUUUAUCAAGGUAUAUAUAUUAGAAAUAAAUUCUAAAGUAUUCCGUCAAUCCUUUGGCAGGGAGUGAACGAAUUUUAAUCAACUAACAGCAACUGCAGUCAAACACAUCUCAAUGGUCGCAGCAUGAUCUGUAUUAAAACCAAGUAUUUUAAUCUGAACCGCAUUCUGUUGCUCGCAGUUGGCCUAUGGCCCUAUCAACAAUCAAGACUUGUUCAAUUAUUCGUAUUCAACAGUCUUUUGAACAGUAUUAUUAUAUUUCAACUUUUAUCCUUUCUAACUGCAGAAUGUACUCCUGACUUUAUUAUAACAGUUCUUUCAAGUGUAUCGGUUUAUUUUGUUUCCAUUAUUCAGUAUAACUCGUUCUGGAGUAAUAUCUCUACAAUUAGAUAUUUAUUGGAUCAACUUCAAGAUAUCUAUAAUAAAUUGAAAGACGAAAAUGAAAUUGCUAUUAUGGAAACAUACGGAAGAAACGCGAAACGUCUAACAGCAAAUAUUAGUUUGCUUACUAUGGGCUCAAUAGUUAUAUUUCUAUCGUUACCAAUUUGGGUACGAAUUAUUGAUAUUUUUCUGAUCUUAAAUAAUUCUCAACAUGGCAUGAUACAACUCACAACGGAAUAUUUUAUUGAUCAAGAGAAAUAUUUCUAUUUGAUUUUGCUGCACAUAGAUGCAGCUACUUGUAUAGCAGGAAGUGGACUAACAGCGAUAGGAUUGAUAUACUGUGCAUAUUUUAAACAUAUCUGUGGUAUGUUUAGAAUUGCCAGAAAUAUUGUUUACAGUUACCGCAUUAAGCAAGCAAUAACACUGGAAAAAAUUUUCCUGGAAAACGAUCUUAUGAUUUAUAAAGAAAUGAUUUAUGCCAUCGACAUGCAUCGCAAAGCUAUGAAAUUUUCCGAAGAUUUACUGAACAGCAUAGAAGGAUCAGUAUUCUUGUCAAUAAUUAGUUCGGUAUGUUGUUUAAGCUUGAAUCUUUUUGGGAUUGUUUGGACUACCUCGACUGAUUUCAAUAUACAAAAAGUUGUUAUACAUUUUGGUGUAGUAUUGAUGAUUGUUAUAUGUAUGUUCUUGGCUAACAGUACGGGACAAGAAAUUACGGAUCACAAUAACCACGUAUUUACUACCGUGUACAACACUGAAUGGUAUAUAGCACCCUUACAAACACAAAAAUUGAUAUUAUUCCUUUUGCAAAGGAACAACAAGCCAUUUAUCUUAAAUAUAAGAGGAAUAGUCAUAUCAUCUAUGGAAUGUUUCACUAAGAUUUUGUACUGAUACAUUACAUAACAGUGAGUUACUUCAUUAAUGACCUAACUAUUUUGCUAAGAAAACUGUAACAUUGUUUUCAUUAUUCAUCUAUGAGGAAGUCAUCUUAUUAUAUUUGUGCUCACCACAUCAAAAUUUUCUGCGUUGCAAAUAACAAAUUCGGCCUUCCAGUUAAAUCACAAUUUAUCCUUUCGUGGAAAAUCCAAAGAUAAAUUCUAUAUACAAUAUUAAACUCUACAUACAAAGUAAUCAAGAAACGCACAUGUUCCUUAUUUUACUUGUACAUUUUCUAAAUAUCUCUCACGCUCCUUCAUAUUCAUUCAAUUGCUUUCGUUGAAAGAACGCGGCGCAAUAGAGUUAAGCGGAUUCGUGAUGCAGAACCGACGGGGCGAGCAACGUUUCGCGGAAGCAAGCCGGCGCCAGGUCUAAAUAAAGCAAGAAACGGAAAAAGGAAUAUGGGGAGAUCGAGAUAUAUCCAGGAGAGCAGCGCCUAUGGUCGAGCUUAAUUAUUUCGCGUUGCUCGCGCGGUGGCAGCAGAUUAGAAUAAAGCUCACUUUGCGACGAGAAGACUUUGCCUCAAGAGGACCAAACGCAAUCUGAAGUUCCCAAGUAGUGGGCCAGGACAGGAGGGGUUGGAUGGAGGAACGGGGUGGAUUGGCUCACUGGUCUUUCCUCGAUUCGCAGGACUCGUAGGACGAAUGGAAAAAACUCCGAUGGAGUCUUCCUUCCAGCACGCGGCCUCUUCGGUCUGCUCCUGGCGCGAGGAAGCGGCGAGAAUUUAAUUAAGAAUUUCCACGGUCGAGGGGGGAGGAAGGGCGACCACGCCAUAUUGCCGUGGCACACACGCGUCACCCGGCCGCGAAUCAUGCAGCUCUCUUUCUCUCUCUUUCGCUCUCCGUCUUCCGUUUUCUCCCCUAAUUAAAUCAAAAGAAAUCGUGCACUCUGGUUCUCUUUCUUUUUCAGUGUUUCUUCCCUUUCUGUCUCUCUUCCUCUCGCUCGUAGGAUUCAUUUCUUGCCAGAUUCCCGCUUCUGUGGACGCCUUUCUUUUUAUAUUGUAAUAUCAACGUUUUUUCGAUGCCAAUUCCAUAAUUUCGACUUCGAAAAAGGGAAUUGGCAUUUUAGUUUUCGUUUAGACUUCGUCGGGAAAGUCAAUUUUGUUAAGUCAUUUAUGGAACAUUUCCUAUUAAUAUGAAUGAGUAGGCGAUAUUAAAAAAAUAAUAUAAAGUUUCAUCCUUGAAUGUUUCGGCUGCAUACAUCUUUCUCUGUUAUGUCAGAAUUUUAUUCAAUUUUAUACAAAUUCUUCAAAAGUACUUUUUAAUAAUACAAAUCAAAAAUAUAAAGGUAAAGAUAUAUUUUUUAAUCAUGUCGAGACGUUUUUCAAUAGUAUGUAUAUUUGUCAGUUAUCGUGUAACAUGCGGCUGCUGAUUACUGAUUGUAUAGUUUUAUCGUAUAACAUUUAAACAAAGCUAUAUUAAUGCCUAUAAUAUAACGUCCAAUUAAAUGCGAUUGAUAUUGCGCUGAUUGUAUGUAAAAUACGAUUAGUGAUUAUUUUCGUCCAGCACGUUGAUCGUCAAUCGUCGAUUGCGCAAUAUCAAGAAUGAUUUCCGUGAUAAAGUGACAUUCUUUGACUGUGCUCAAUAAUAGAUUCCAGAAGAGAAUCCAUGAGAAGCCUUUAUUGCAAUAUUUGAAAUAAUUCCGCUGGAAUUCAAUAAUGGUUUAAUUCGCUAUAUUAGGUGCCGUAAGUAAAUUUUAAUGAAGAACUAUUGGACUUUUGAACCAUGGUGAACUAAAUAAUUCUCGGUUGAUUAAGAUAUCAUGACAUGAACAUGCCUCCAAAUAUAACUUGCAAUGACCUGCGGUAUAAAAAUUAUCUUUCACUCUUGAAACAUUUCGCGUACUAUCAUUCGCGUCUUCUUUUAGAAUUGAAUAAUACCUUAUCGAUACAUAUCGAUGAUUAUAGCACGUACAAUUUUAUUUUAUAUUUAAUUUCAUUGCCAUUUAUUUAAUACUUGUAUUUCUUAGUAAAUUUUGAAAUCUGGAAGCAUUUUCCGCGUAUUUUUAGGAUUAUAAAUUUGAAAUACUCAAACGAUUAUUAAUACUCACAUUGUACUAAACUAGCUUAGAACCAUUAGGAAGAAAUGAAGGGUUGCAAAGAUCCGCGUUAGUAUUCAGAAGUUUUAUUUUAAGUCUUUCUUCCUAUCCCUAUCAUCGCGCCUCUUACCUUCCCUCUUUUAGAUGAUACUACAAUGCGCCAUUCUUCUCUUUGACAUUGAUUAACGGUUCUUUGGCAAAAUAUAUAUACGCCCAUGCGUAAAAAAAGUGGUCUCUAUUUCCUUUCUCGUAUAAUACCUCCGCGCUCGAUUCUUAAGCUCAGAAAAAAAGGCUCAUUCGAAAUUUCGGAACGUUAACAAGUAUCAUUAUGCUAGUAACAUUUGUCUUCGCAGACAUGGCAUGACACAAUGAUUAAAUCUUCAUUUUGUGACGAAAUUCUUUGUAUUCGAAGAAACGUAUUAACGUUUCUAACGUUUCUAAUCAAAUCCGAUUGCACACUUUUUUUAUAUUAUAUUUACUAUUGUACAAAAAAUAUGCAUUAAAUAUCUCUCUUUCUCUACAUAUUAAAUAAGUUUAUAUCAUUCUUUUGUGAAUAUUUUGAUUGAUAUUCACAGCAGAUUAAAUUCCCGCAAUGACAAUUGGUAUUAAAGAUUUGGUCAGGAAAACGUUGAGGUUCAUAAAUUUUUUCUAGGGAAAUAGCAUCGUUGGGGAAAUCUCAGGGAAGGAACACGAUAGUCUUCUAUACAACCCGUUUAUUAUAAGCUUGAAUCAUAUAUUAAAUAGUACUCAUGUUAAAUAUAUAACUCAAGUUUUAAAUAUAUGUCUACAUAUCUUAUACAUAUCAUCAAACAUAUGUGCUUAAACAUGCGCGUAUAUCUGAAAAGAGAAAAAUAAUAAUAAUAUAUUAUAAUAGAACUACAAGAAUUAACGAUUAAACCAUCGACGUGUCAUUGCUCUCCGUCGCCUCGCGGCGAAGCUGCGUGUGAAAGUUCUCGAAAAAGAAAUAAAGAGACAACAGAAGAAAUAUAGUGCGCACGGGAGACAUUUCUCGCGCUAGGAAACAAAUGUCCAGCAUCCGCAAGACACACUUCAUACAUAUUUCCAGCUGCAGCUGGACCGCUCAAUUGUGAUUGCUUCCGGAUCGCCAAUCGAGGCGAAUUGCGAUCUCUCGAUCCGGAAACGGCAGACGUCCGCUUUCCCAUUUCUUCACUCUCUCUCUCUCUCUCUCUCUCUCUCUCUCUCUCUCUCUCUCCUCUUAUCGCGUUACUAAUAUUGGCGACAUAAUUAUCAGCCAAGAUGCAUCCUCGUUUCCAUAAACACCUUCAUAUACAUGUCACUAGGUAAUAUUACAUUUAUAUAGGUCGCUAUAUAAAACAGACAAGUCCGAAAUAGACUUCUUGCGAGAAGUCUGCUCAAGUCGAUUUUUUUCUUCUUGGGAACAAACUUCGCUUGUGAGAGAAACACUUUUGUAAAAAAUUCGGUUGAAGCUUUUUUUCUUCAAAAAAUGUUAUGCACAAGAGUCGUAAAUCUUUUCCGCACUUGAUCGCUUUUGUAUACCGAUCGAUUUGUCUAAGAUAUUUCGCUUAGAGACCUUUUUCAAGGAACUUCUUCGCGACAUAAAUCAGAUGGCUUAUGACACUUACAUCGAGUCGCAAUCCUCAUCUUGGUAUCGCGGACGCGUUACGUAUAACGUUUAUUCGAUGAGAAGAAUCGCGCCGGUGUUCUGAGCAAGUCGCCGGUAGCAGUGCGCGAUUUGCACAUCGAGCAUGCGAUAUUCUCAAAAUUGCCGUGCGGCUCUCUUUGCAAUCUUUAAGGAACUCAGGUAUCGAAGAUACAUAACAAGCACUGGUUUCACGUUUAUAUCGCAGCAAAAAUAAUCAUGAAGAACAAAUCUCGAAAGGCAUUUUUAACUUCUCUUUUUCCAAGUUUAUUUAAUUUGUUUGUUUAAUUUGACACUGACACAAUGAAAUAAUACUUAAUUAAAAAGUUCAGAGCAGGAGAAGUGCAAACCGUUUUCCGAGUCAUUAUAAAAUCAAUUUUAAAACUGAAAGAGUCGUAUCUAAAUUAUCUUUAACAAGUUCUUAUAAAAAAUUUAAUUGAGCAACUGGAUAGAGAAGAUAGUAGUACUGAAUCUUUCAAUAAAGAUCUACAUAUGUAAAUCUAUAAAAAAAACAUAAUAAUAUAUUAAUAAGUUUUCAACUAAUUAGCAACUCUAUUUAGUGGAUGUUAGCAAAUAAUUGUGAAGCCAGGCUUGCGUGGAUUACGCUGCGGAUUACGUCGAAAAACUUGCCGCUUCCUCGGGCUGCAUUGUCGACACUAUCAUACGCCAAACUGUCUCACUGAAAGUCGCGCUCUGCGUAUGCGUGUGUGCAACAAUGUCGAAAAUUUUUUUCACGUACUCUAUAUUCAGUGGACGGAUACACGAGCUAUAAUAGUUUCUCCUAAAAAAUUCGUUUCUGGUGCGCGGCUGUCGAAGUGCGUGAGACGCGAGUACAGCGUUCCCCAAAAAGUUCCACUUCCGCUUACAUUCGAUUCGUCUUCGGUGACAAAAUCGUGCUUGGGAACCGGUUACAUACGGAACUAAUACAUUUUAACGAUUCUUUAAAAUCCAUUUCAGAAAUCAAGUACGCUCGUGUGACAUAGAGAGUGAAUUCGCUUCUCCGUUUUUUUCUCUCCCUUUUUUUAAAUACGAUUAUACGAUCGCAGCGUAGCGUAGCGCAUUUCCGUUUUCAAUAAUUGAGUCGAUUUCGGAAGAAAAAAAUCGUUUAUUUGAUUCCAGCGCAUACAUGUUCUUCAACUUCACUAGAGAUUUCGCGCUUUUUACAAAAAUUGUCGGUUUGCGAGCGCAGAAAUAUAUAUGCAUGCACAAUAUGAUCCUUCUACUUAAAACUACUAAAUAAAAACAGAGUUUUCCUUAUACAAAA